GAGAAGAUGGCUAAGUGGUAGAGCUCUUGCCUUGCAUGCAUGAGGCCCUGGGUUCAAUUCCUCAUCACCACA
rfam:Dipodomys ordii contig_1498, whole genome shotgun sequence.